UUAGAGUUUGAUCCUGGCUCAGAACGAACGCUGGCGGCGUGCCUAACACGUGCAAGUCGAACGGUUAGAUGGCUUCGGUCAUCUGAUAGUGGCGCACGGGUGAGUAAUGCAUAGGAACGUACCUAGAGGUGGGGAAUAACUGCGGGAAACUUCAGCUAAUACCCCAUGAAGUCGCAAGACCAAAGGAGGCCUCUUUUUGAAAGCUUCCGCCCCUAGAUCGGCCUAUGUCCCAUUAGCUAGUUGGUAGGGUAAAAGCCUACCAAGGCGACGAUGGGUAGCUGGUCUGAGAGGACGAUCAGCCACACUGGAACUGAGAUACGGUCCAGACUCCUACGGGAGGCAGCAGUGGGGAAUCUUGCACAAUGGGCGAAAGCCUGAUGCAGCAACGCCGCGUGGGUGAAGAAGGUCUUUGGAUUGUAAAGCCCUUUCGGUUAGGAAGAAGGGCUAUCGGGAUAAUACCUCGGUAGUCUGACGGUACUAGAAGGAGAAGCACCGGCUAAUUCCGUGCCAGCAGCCGCGGUAAUACGGAAGGUGCGAGCGUUGUUCGGAAUAAUUGGGCGUAAAGAGCACGUAGGUGGGUUGGUGUGUCAGAUGUGAAAUCCCUGGGCUUAACCUGGGAAUUGCAUUUGAAACUGCCAGUCUUGAAUACUUGAGGGUUGGAGAAAUUCCAGGUGUAGGAGUGAAAUCCGUAGAGAUCUGGAGGAAUACCGGAGGCGAAGGCGUCCAACUGGCAAUGUAUUGACACUGAGGUGCGAAAGUGCGGGGAGCAAACAGGAUUAGAUACCCUGGUAGUCCGCACCAUAAACGAUGGAUACUAGGUGUUUGGGAAGUUAACCUCUGAGUACUGAAGCUAACGCAUUAAGUAUCCCGCCUGGGGAGUACGGUCGCAAGGCUAAAACUCAAAGGAAUUGACGGGGACCCGCACAAGCGGUGGAGUAUGUGGUUUAAUUCGAAGCAACGCGCAGAACCUUACCUACCCUUAACAUCCCAGGACGCAUGCAGAGAUGUAUGCUUCACUUCGGUGACCUGGAGAUAGGUGCUGCAUGGCUGUCGUCAGCUCGUGUCGUAAGAUGUCUGGUUAAGUCCAAAAACGAGCGCAACCCCUGUCCUUAGUUACCAUCAUUAAGUUGGGGACUCUAAGGAGACUGCCGGUGUUAAACCGGAGGAAGGCGGGGAUGACGUCAAGUCCUCAUGGCCCUUACGGGUAGGGCUACACACGUACUACAAUGGCAGAAACAAACCGUCGCGAAGCCGCGAGGUGGAGCUAAUCGGUAAAACACUGUCUCAGUUCGGAUUGAAGUCUGCAACUCGACUUCAUGAAGCUGGAAUCGCUAGUAAUCGCUGAUCAGCAAGCAGCGGUGAAUACGUUCCCGGGUCUUGUACACACCGCCCGUCACACCACGAAAGUGGUCAUCACCAGAAGUAUGUGAGCUAACCGCAAGGAGGCAGCAUACCAAGGUUAUGGCCGCAAUUGGGGUGAAGUCGUAACAAGGUAACC
rnacentral:rRNA from 1 species